CGCGAAUUCGCCCUUGGGGUGCAGCAGGCGCGAAACCUCUGCAAUAGGCGAAAGCUUGACAGGGUUACUCUGAGUGACGUCCGUUAAGGACGUCUUUUGGCACCUCUAAAAAUGGUGCAGAAUAAGGGGUGGGCAAGUCUGGUGUCAGCCGCCGCGGUAAUACCAGCACCCCGAGUGGUCGGGACGAUUAUUGGGCCUAAAGCAUCCGUAGCCGGUUCUGCAAGUCUUCCGUUAAAUCCACCUGCUCAACAGAUGGGCCGCGGAGGAUACUACAGGGCUAGGAGGCGGGAGAGGCAAGCGGUACUCAGUGGGUAGGGGUAAAAUCCUCUGAUCCACUGAAGACCACCAGUGGCGAAGGCGGCUUGCCAGAACGCGCUCGACGGUGAGGGAUGAAAGCUGGGGGAGCAAACCGGAUUAGAUACCCGGGUAGUCCCAGCUGUAAACGAUGCAGACUCGGUGGAUGGGUUGGCUUCNAGCCAACCCAGUGCCGCAGGGAAGCCGUUAAGUCUGCCGCCUGGGGAGUACGGUCGCAAGACUGAAACUUAAAGGAAUUGGCGGAGGAGCAC
rnacentral:rRNA from 1 species